rnacentral:snRNA from 1 species
CUGCCCUCGAGGGCAGCACAUAUACUAAAACUGGAAUGAUACGGAGAAGAUUAGCAUGGCCCCUGCACAAGGAUAACACAUAAAUUCAUGAAUUAUUCUAUAUUUUU